UACAUGCAAGUCGAGCGGACAGAUGGGAGCUUGCUCCCUGAUGUUAGCGGCGGACGGGUGAGUAACACGUGGGUAACCUGCCUGUAAGACUGGGAUAACUCCGGGAAACCGGGGCUAAUACCGGAUGGUUGUUUGAACCGCAUGGUUCAAACAUAAAAGGUGGCUUCGGCUACCACUUACAGAUGGACCCGCGGCGCAUUAGCUAGUUGGUGAGGUAACGGCUCACCAAGGCAACGAUGCGUAGCCGACCUGAGAGGGUGAUCGGCCACACUGGGACUGAGACACGGCCCAGACUCCUACGGGAGGCAGCAGUAGGGAAUCUUCCGCAAUGGACGAAAGUCUGACGGAGCAACGCCGCGUGAGUGAUGAAGGUUUUCGGAUCGUAAAGCUCUGUUGUUAGGGAAGAACAAGUACCGUUCGAAUAGGGCGGUACCUUGACGGUACCUAACCAGAAAGCCACGGCUAACUACGUGCCAGCAGCCGCGGUAAUACGUAGGUGGCAAGCGUUGUCCGGAAUUAUUGGGCGUAAAGGGCUCGCAGGCGGUUUCUUAAGUCUGAUGUGAAAGCCCCCGGCUCAACCGGGGAGGGUCAUUGGAAACUGGGGAACUUGAGUGCAGAAGAGGAGAGUGGAAUUCCACGUGUAGCGGUGAAAUGCGUAGAGAUGUGGAGGAACACCAGUGGCGAAGGCGACUCUCUGGUCUGUAACUGACGCUGAGGAGCGAAAGCGUGGGGAGCGAACAGGAUUAGAUACCCUGGGUAGU
rnacentral:rRNA from 1 species